UGCCAGCCGCCGCGGUAAUACGAAGGGGGCUAGCGUUGUUCGGAAUCACUGGGCGUAAAGCGCACGUAGGCGGAUUGUUAAGUCAGGGGUGAAAUCCCGAGGCUCAACCUCGGAACUGCCUUUGAUACUGGCAAUCUUUGAGUCCGGGAGAGGUGAGUGGAAUUCCGAGUGUAGGGGUGAAAUCCGUAGAUAUUCGGAGGAACACCAGUGGCGAAGGCGGCUUUCUGGACCGAUACUGACGCUGAGACGCGAAAGCGUGGGGAGCAAACAGGAUUAGAUA
rnacentral:rRNA from 1 species